GAUGAAGAACGCAGCUAAAUGCGAUAAGUAAUGUGAAUUGCAGAAUUCAGUGAAUCAUCGAAUCUUUGAACGCACAUUGCGCCCGCCAGUAUUCUGGCGGGCAUGCCUGUUCGAGCGUCAUUUCAACCCUCAAGCCCUCGGGUUUGGUGUUGGGGAUCGGCGAGCCUUUCUGGCAAGCCGGCCCCGAAAUCUAGUGGCGGUCUCGCUGCAGCCUCCAUUGCGUAGUAGUAAAACCCUCGCAACUGGAACGCGGCGCGGCCAAGCCGUUAAACCCCCAACUUCUGAAUGUUGACCUCGGAUCAGGUAGGAAUACCCGCUGAACUUAAGCAUAUCAAUAAGCGGAGGA
rnacentral:misc_RNA from 1 species